GCAAACUUGGUCAUUUAGAGGAAGUAAAAGUCGUAACAAGGUUUCCGUAGGUGAACCUGCGGAAGGAUCAUUACUGAAGUGCUUGGAGAUGUUGCUGGCUUCUUUCGGGAAGCAAUGUGCACUCUUCCAACUUUUCACAAUUUCCUUUACACCCCUUGUGCACCUUUGGUAGGCCCCCUCACAGGCUUUUAAAUAGCCCUGAGGAGGGAGACUCUAUGUUUUUUUUUGCUACACCUUCACACUUGUCCAAUGUAUGUUGUAGCAAAAAAAGAAACAACUUUCAACAAUGGAUCUCUUGGCUCUCGCAUCGAUGAAGAACGCAGC
rnacentral:misc_RNA from 1 species